rnacentral:rRNA from 1 species
CCUGGCGGCCGUAGCGCGGUGGUCCCACCUGACCCCAKGCCGAACUCAGAAGUGAAACGCCGUAGCGCCGAUGGUAGUGUGGGGUCUCCCCAUGCGAGAGUAGGGAACUGCCAGGC